rnacentral:lncRNA from 1 species
ACUAGGAUUGCACAUUAAAGACUUAUCAAUCUCUUGACUCAACCACUUAGCAUUCAUCAUUUUAAUGUUAAGUUGCCUACUACACGUAUAGGUGUCAAUAAUCUUCCUCAAUUGCCAAAUUUUACGUGAUGGCAAAUACCCACAAUAAGCCACCCAUGGGCACUUUCCUUGGCCACCCAAGCAUCUUACCCUCACCCUACGUUUAUCAUUUUUCACAAAUUUAAGAGACCUCCCAGCAUGCACAGAAUAGCUUCGUAUGGCAUCCUUAAAGUCUUCCUUAUCUGUAAAUAUUGUGCCCACUUGCCACCUAUAAUUUGCCAUUGAUUUCUGUUUUACAUAUUUUGAAAAGGGGCCACUUGGGACUCUAUCCUGGAUGUCAUCCUCAUCACUUCCACUAUUUUGUGGCGUUAAAAGCACAUCAGACUCUCAUUCACCAUCUGACAACCCCCUUCCAAUUGGUUGUGCUUCAUCAUCACUGUGUUCAACCACGUACUCAUCACCACUCAAAUCCUCUAUUCCUGGUUCAUCCUCACUGUCGUCUUCCACUUCUUCUUCAUCAGUCUGAACUGCUGCUUCUUCAAUCUGAACUUCUUCUUCUUCAUCAGUAUGACCUCCUACUUUUUCAAUCUGAACUUCUUCUUAGAGCCGUCAAAAUGGGUCACAACCCGC